rnacentral:rRNA from 1 species
GAUGAACGCUAGCGACAGGCUUAACACAUGCAAGUCGAGGGGCAGCAUAAAAGUAGCAAUACUUUGGUGGCGACCGGCGCACGGGUGAGUAACGCGUAUGCAACCUACCUAUCAGAGGGGAAUAACCCGGCGAAAGUCGGACUAAUACCGCAUAAAACAGGGGCACCGCAUGGUGAUAUUUGUUAAAGAAAUUCGCUGAUAGAUGGGCAUGCGUUCCAUUAGGUAGUUGGUGAGGUAACGGCUCACCAAGCCGACGAUGGAUAGGGGAACUGAGAGGUUGGUCCCCCACACUGGUACUGAGACACGGACCAGACUCCUACGGGAGGCAGCAGUGAGGAAUAUUGGUCAAUGGGCGAGAGCCUGAACCAGCCAAGUCGCGUGAAGGAAGAAGGAUCUAUGGUUCGUAAACUUCUUUUGCAGGGGAAUAAAGUGCAGGACGUGUCCUGUUUUGUAUGUACCCUGAGAAUAAGCACCGGCUAACUACGUGCCAGCAGCCGCGGUAA